rnacentral:rRNA from 1 species
AUUAAACGCUGGCGGCAGGCUUAACACAUGCAAGUCGAGCGGAGAGAGGUAGCUUGCUACCGAUCUUAGCGGCGGACGGGUGAGUAAUGCUUAGGAAUCUGCCUAUUAGUGGGGGACAACAUUUCGAAAGGAAUGCUAAUACCGCAUACGUCCUACGGGAGAAAGCAGGGGAUCUUCGGACCUUGCGCUAAUAGAUGAGCCUAAGUCGGAUUAGCUAGUUGGUGGGGUAAAGGCCUACCAAGGCGACGAUCUGUAGCGGGUCUGAGAGGAUGAUCCGCCACAAUGGGACUGAGACACGGCCCAGACUCCUACGGGAGGCAGCAGUGGGGAAUAUUGGACAAUGGGCGCAAGCCUGAUCCAGCCAUGCCGCGUGUGUGAAGAAGGCCUUAUGGUUGUAAAGCACUUUAAGCGAGGAGGAGGCUACUUUAGUUAAUACCUAGAGAUAGUGGACGUUACUCGCAGAAUAAGCACCGGCUAACUCUGUGCCAGCAGCCGCAGUAAGAC